GGAUUAGAUACCCUGGUAGUCCACGCCGUAAACGAUGUUCACUAGCUGCUGGGGGCCUUGGCGCUCGCAGUGGCGAAGCUAACGCAUUAAGUGAACCGCCUGGGGAGUACGGUCGCAAGAUUAAAACUCAAAGGAAUUGACGGGGACCCGCACAAGCGGUGGAGCAUGUGGUUUAAUUCGAAGCAACGCGAAGAACCUUACCUGGGUUUGACAUCCCACUAAGAUCGGGUAAUGCCGAUUGUGCCCUUCGGGGAAAGUGGUGACAGGUGCUGCAUGGCUGUCGUCAGCUCGUGCCG
rnacentral:rRNA from 1 species